rnacentral:rRNA from 1 species
AGGACGAACGCUGGCGGCGUGCUUAACACAUGCAAGUCGAGCGGAAAGGCCCUUCGGGGUACUCGAGCGGCGAACGGGUGAGUAACACGUGAGCAACCUGCCCUUAGCUCCGGGAUAGCUCCGGGAAACCGGAAUUAAUACCGGAUACGACCACGGCCGACAUCUGCUGUGGUGGAAAGGAUUCCGGCUAAGGAUGGGCUCGCGGCCUAUCAGCUAGUUGGUGGAGUAACGGCCCACCAAGGCGACGACGGGUAGCCGGCCUGAGAGGGCGACCGGCCACACUGGGACUGAGACACGGCCCAGACUCCUACGGGAGGCAGCAGUGGGGAAUAUUGCGCAAUGGGCGAAAGCCUGACGCAGCGACGCCGCGUGGGGGAUGAAGGCCUUCGGGUUGUAACCCCGUUUCAGCGAGGGACGAAGCGAAAGUGACGGUACCUGCAGAAGAAGCGCCGGCUAACUACGCGCCAGCAGCCGC